rnacentral:misc_RNA from 1 species
UCCUGGUUAACCCAGGCAGUCUCAUUAGAGUUCCCACCCUAAGUGUUGGCAACUAAUGAUAAGGGUUGCGCUCGUUGCUGGACUUAACCAAACACCUCACGGCACGAGCUGACGACAGCCAUGCAGCACCUGUGCAGAUGCCCCGAAGGGACACACCAUCUCUGGUGUUGUCAUCUGCAUGUCAAGCCUGGGUAAGGUUCUUCGCGUUGCAUCGAAUUAAACCACAUGCUCCACUGCUUGUGCGGGUCCCCGUCAAUUCUUUUGAGUUUCACCCUUGCGAGCGUACUCCUCAGGCGGUAUACUUAUCGCGUUAGCUUCGGCACAACUAGGGUUGAUUCCAGUUACACCAAGUAUACAUCGUUUAAGGCAAGGACUAC